CCGAUAUAGCUCAGUUGGUAGAGCAACUCAUUCGUAAUGAGUAGGUCGGGAGUUCGAGUCUCCCUAUCGG
rnacentral:tRNA from 1 species